UACGUAGGAUGCAAGCGUUAUCCGGAGUUACUGGGCGUAAAGGGCGUGUAGGUGGUUUCGUAAGUCUGGCGUGAAAUUUUUCGGCUUAACCGGGAAAGGUCGUCGGAUACUGCGAGGCUAGAGGACGGUAGAGGCGUGUGGAAUUCCGGGUGUAGUGGUGAAAUGCGUAGAGAUCCGGAGGAACACCAGUGGCGAAGGCGACACGCUGGGCCGUACCUGACACUGAUGCGCGACAGCAUGGGGAGCAAACAGG
rnacentral:rRNA from 1 species